UACGUAGGGUGCGAGCGUUGUCCGGAAUUAUUGGGCGUAAAGAGCUCGUAGGCGGCCUGUUGCGUCCGCUGUGAAAUCCCGGGGCUUAACCCCGGGCGUGCAGUGGAUACGGGCAGGCUGGAGGCAGGCAGGGGAGAACGGAAUUCCCGGUGUAGCGGUGAAAUGCGCAGAUAUCGGGAGGAACACCGGUGGCGAAGGCGGUUCUCUGGGCCUGUACUGACGCUGAGGAGCGAAAGCGUGGGGAGCGAACAGG
rnacentral:rRNA from 1 species